rnacentral:rRNA from 1 species
CCUACGGGUGGCAGCAGUGAGGAAUAUUGGUCAAUGGACGCAAGUCUGAACCAGCCAUGCCGCGUGCAGGAUGACGGCUCUAUGGGUUGUAAACUUCUUUUGUACGGGAGUAAUCUCCGGUACGUGUGUCUUCUUGCACGUAUCGUACGAAUAAGGAUCGGCUAACUCCGUGCCAGCAGCCGCGGUAAUACGGAGGGUCCGGGCGUUAUCCGGAUUUAUUGGGUUUAAAGGGUGCGUAGUGGGGAUGUCAAGGCAGGUGUGAAAACCUGGGGCUCAACCCUAGAACUGCCGUUGAAACUGGCGUGCUUGAGUGGGGGAGAAGUAGGCGGAAUGCGUGGUGUAGCGGUGAAAUGCAUAGAUAUCACGAAGAACUCCGAUUGCGAAGGCAGCAUACUGGAGUGCAACUGACGUUGAAGCACGAAAGCGUGGGUAUCGAACAGGAUUAGAUACCCCUGUAGUC